UACGUAGGGUGCAAGCGUUGUCCGGAAUUAUUGGGCGUAAAGAGCUCGUAGGCGGCCUGUCGCGUCGGAUGUGAAAGCCCGGGGCUUAACCCCGGGUCUGCAUUCGAUACGGGCAGGCUGGAGUUCGGUAGGGGAGAUCGGAAUUCCUGGUGUAGCGGUGAAAUGCGCAGAUAUCAAGAGGAACACCAGUGGCGAAGGCGAGUCCCUGGACGAUACCUGACACUGAGGCACGAAAGCUAGGGGAGCAAACAGG
rnacentral:rRNA from 1 species